UAGUUAUUAAGAAAGGCAGAGGGAAUAGACCUGUUGAAGCCUUAGCAACCCUUUAAAACUAAAGAAGGUGCUACGUUCUACCAUUAAUUAUGGACAGAUAACAC
rnacentral:ncRNA from 2 species